rnacentral:rRNA from 1 species
AGGUAGGACUACCCGCUGAACUUAAGCAUAUCAAUAAGCCGGAGGAAUUU